rnacentral:rRNA from 1 species
AUUGAACGCUGGCGGAAUGCUUUACACAUGCAAGUCGAACGGCAGCACGGGGGCAACCCUGGUGGCGAGUGGCGAACGGGUGAGUAAUACAUCGGAACGUGCCCAGUCGUGGGGGAUAACGUAGCGAAAGUUACGCUAAUACCGCAUACGAUCUACGGAUGAAAGCGGGGGACCGUAAGGCCUCGCGCGAUUGGAGCGGCCGAUGUCAGAUUAGGUAGUUGGUGAGGUAAAGGCGCACCAAGCCGACGACCUGUAGUUGGUCGGAAAGGACGGCCAGCAACACUGGGACUGAGACACGUCCCAGACUCCUACGGGAGGCAGCAGUGGGGAAUUUUGGACAAUGGGCGCAAGCCUGAUCCAGCCAUUCCGCGUGCAGGACGAAGGCCUUCGGGUUGUAAACUGCUUUUGUACGGAACGAAAAGGCUCUGGUUAAUACCUGGGGCUCAUGACGGUACCGUAAGAAUAAGCACCGGCUAACUACGUGCCAGCCGCCGCAGUAA